rnacentral:rRNA from 1 species
CAAGUCGAACGGUAGCACAGAGGAGCUUGCCCCUUGGGUGAAACGAGUGGCGGACGGGUGAGUAAUGUCUGGGAAACUGCCCGAUGGAGGGGGAUAACUACUGGAAACGGUAGCUAAUACCGCAUAACGUCGCAAGACCAAAGAGGGGGACCUUCGGGCCUCUUGCCAUCGGAUGUGCCCAGAUGGGAUUAGCUAGUAGGUGGGGUAACGGCUCACCUAGGCGACGAUCCCUAGCUGGUCUGAGAGGAUGACCAGCCACACUGGAACUGAGACACGGUCCAGACUCCUACGGGAGGCAGCAGUGGGGAAUAUUGCACAAUGGGCGCAAGCCUGAUGCAGCCAUGCCGCGUGUAUGAAGAAGGCCUUCGGGUUGUAAAGUACUUUCAGCGAGGAGGAAGGCGUUGUGGUUAAUAACCGCAGCGAUUGACGUUACUCGCAGAAGAAGCACCGGCUAACUCCGUGCCAGCAGCCGCGGUAAAAGGG